UAUUCACAAACAGUAGCCUAUUGAAGAAUUUAAUUUUCAAACCCUUUACCCUAUUUAUAUUAGAAUGAAACAGACAAAUAAUUGUUAACGCUUUAAGUUGUGUUCUAUUGAAAGGAUCUAGCUACAUGCUAACGAGAGCUCGACUCGGCGGAAGCAUAAAUACUUCAGCGCGGAAGGAUACAUGAGUGAAUCGACAGUGAUCCAACUGUCAGUCUCCGUCAGUGUCGAUCAAAGUCGGGAGGAUAGCGCUUGGACAUUAAGCAACGGAGGAUUUAAUCACGGGCUUACUUCGUUUCGGAAUAAAGGUCACUGAAGAGGAGCGAAGUAAAUUCAAAGAUAAUGAAGUUGACGGAGAAGCAGUGGACUAUGGAUUGACUGAGAGGAUGGUUUCAUACCUCUUUGAAGGAUCGUUUAAGCAGCAAGCCAAAUUCAACCGAUUUGUACAGCAGUGGAAAGAAACCGUGACACUAACCUGUCCCGGUACAUUCAGAGAAGGCUACAGUGGAAUCAAGCUAUAUCAGGAAAGGG